CUAAGCUUUAUUUGAGCUGCGAUUUUAAAAGCAAGCAGGAUAUUGUGUAGCAACAGUUGACAGAUGUGGAAGGAGCGGCUGAUUGGACAGCUGUUUUAGACUCUAACCUCACAAGUAUGAAGAGUGUAUUUGCUGCUCUCAGUUGUGAAUGAGAGAGAGAGGGAAAAUGACACCAUUAAAUCUCUUGAAUUUUCAACACAUUCUAAUGCUGUCUGUAUUCACUGGAACAGCUAAUGGAUAUUAUUUCCACACAUGGAAACAGUGCAUCUACAGCUCUCCUGAUCUCAGUGACAUGGAGUUCAUUGAAGGCUUUUACUUCAAUAAAUAUCCAGUCAUUAAGUUCAACAGCACUGUGGGGAUGUUUGAGGGGUUUUCAGAUCUUGGAAUAAAAACUGCAGAACUGUGGAACAACGAUACAGCAUUCUUACAGAAAACCAGGGCUUCAGUUGAUACAUACUGCAAGCCUAAUGCUAAACCUUAUGAGGCAGCUAUCUAUAGAAAAAAAGAGCGGCCGACAGUGAAGCUCAGUUCAGUGAUGCCAGGUGACAGCACACAUCCAGCUCUGGUGAAGUGCAGCGCGUAUAACUUCUACCCUCAACCAAUCAAAGUCUACUGGCUGAAGGAUGGUGUGCAGGUGAAUUCUGACGUGACCUCCACUGAGGAGCUGCCCAACGGAGACUGGUACUACCAGAUUCACACCAUGCUGGAAUACACUCCCAAAUCUGCAGAGAAGAUCUCCUGCGUGGUGGAGCACGCCAGCUUCACCAGACCCAUGAUCUACGACUGGACCCCACCGGCCCCUGAGUUUGAGUGGGAUAUUCAACUUUUAUUCAUUAUUGAAUCUGCUGCACUGCUGCUGGGAAUCAUCAUAGCCGCUGCUGGAUACAUGUACUUCAAGAUAAAGACAUCAGAACUGUAGAGAGAAGUUCCUAUUACCACGGCAGUAAUGGUCCGCAUACUGACUGAAAGGAGCCUCAUCAUGGAGAAGCACAUCGUCCAACUCUUCAACUGAUGCUUAAAAAUAAAAAAGAGGAUUAAAGCAUUGUAUCUGAGCCAUUUCUCUGGCUAAUAUUUCAGCAUCUUCAGGCAAUAUUGGCAGUAAAUGAUGUGAAUGAUUGAGGGACUCACCCUUGAGUCUCAGAUCAUGUCGUCUUACAGUUUCUGCUCUUGCUCUUUCGACUGUCUCAGUUCCCUCCAUCGACCCUCUCUUCUCACUCUCCUUCUACAUCUUACACUCUUUCUGUCCUCACUCACUUCUUCUCUGUGUUAGAUAAAUAAAUGUAUAAUUUUAUAAAUA